AGGUUCCAAAGCCAUUUCCUAGGAUGUACCUCAAAUUUUUCCAGGUUCAGUCAACAAUGUCUACCUCUAAUGUUCUUGGUUCAGUGGGGUCCAGGAGGCUGAGAGAAGCAGCAAGAUUGUCAGACCCACUUUCCUGCGCUUACCAAAGCAGAAAUGUAUAGGUCCUCAUAUUUGUGAGGUUUUAGUGAUUGGAGCUCAUUGCAGUACAAUGUAGCGGAACUACACCACGGCAUUGUGACAGCAACUCAAGGCUAAGGUGAAGAGAUCGAGUAUCUGAUGAAAAUACUCCAAGAUCCUGGGCAAACUUUGGUUUUAUAGAAUGCCUUGAUAUGAAGCUCAGAGAGCACCUUCGCUGGUAAAUCUUGACUAUCAAGACUUCUAAAUCAUUGCUAUUGUGAAUUAUAG